GUGCUCGCUUUGGCAGUACAUAUACUAGAAUUGAAACAAUACAGAGAUUAGCAUGGCCCCUGUGCAAGAUGACAGGCCAAUUCAUGGAGCAUUCCACGUUUUC
rnacentral:snRNA from 1 species